GGCGGCGGAGUGAGGAGCGUGUCCGGACAGGCAUCUCGCUCGGGUGGGGGCGAGGGGGAGACAGACCGGUCUUUUUGUACCGGCGGAAAAUGACACUGGUGUCUGAAGUUGAAGACUAAUCCUCCUGAGUGAUGGCCAAUGUGCAAGUGGCCGUCAGGGUUCGACCCCUCAGCAAGAGAGAAAAUGCAGAAGGAUCGAGUAUAAUUGUGCAAGUGGAUGACAAGGUAGCUAGCAUCAGAAAUAUAAAGCUGGAUUCCCGACUUGAUAGCCCUGGGAAUGCAAGGGAACGGAAGAUAGAGUUCACCUUUGAUUACUGUUACUGGUCGAUAGAUC